GUAUCACUUCGAAGAUAGCUGUUCCACUCUCUCACGAGUGCCGCGGAAGCUUCGGAAUGGUGGCUACUUGCGUAUACACACAGGAGGGAAUCAGCAGGCCUUUAAACACAAGACAGGAGGAGACUCGAGGAUCCCACUUCAUUGAGAAAUGUUCCGUUGUGAGAGAGUCAGGCAACGUUUACGGGACUCUCAAGGCUAUAUUUUGUGGAAAUGUUCAACGAACAGCAAAAUGAAAAUCUACUGGA